UCGUCACACUAUCAUUAACUGAAUCCAUAGGUUAAUGAGGCGAACCGGGGGAACUGAAACAUCUAAGUACCCCGAGGAAAAGAAAUCAACCGAGAUUCCCCCAGUAGCGGCGAGCGAACGGGGAGGAGCCCAGAGCCUGAAUCAGCAUGUGUGUUAGUGGAAGCGUCUGGAAAGGCGCGCGAUACAGGGUGACAGCCCCGUACACAAAAGCGCAUGUGCUGUGAGCUCGAUGAGUAGGGCGGGACACGUGGUAUCCUGUCUGAAUAUGGGGGGACCAUCCUCCAAGGCUAAAUACUCCUGACUGACCGAUAGUGAACCAGUACCGUGAGGGAAAGGCGAAAAGAACCCCGGCGAGGGGAGUGAAAAAGAACCUGAAACCGUGUACGUACAAGCAGUGGGAGCACAGGUUUACCUGUGUGACUGCGUACCUUUUGUAUAAUGGGUCAGCGACUUAUAUUCUGUAGCAAGGUUAACCGAAUAGGGGAGCCGGAGGGAAACCGAGUCUUAAUUGGGCGUUAAGUUGCAGGGUAUAGACCCGAAACCCGGUGAUCUAGCCAUGGGCAGGUUGAAGGUUGGGUAACACUAACUGGAGGACCGAACCGACUAAUGUUGAAAAAUUAGCGGAUGACCUGUGGCUGGGGGUGAAAGGCCAAUCAAACCGGGAGAUAGCUGGUUCUCCCCGAAAGCUAUUUAGGUAGCGCCUCGUGAAUUCAUCUCCGGGGGUAGAGCACUGUUUCGGCUAGGGGGCCAUCCCGGCUUACCAACCCGAUGCAAACUGCGAAUACCGGAGAAUGUUAUCACGGGAGACACACGGCGGGUGCUAACGUCCGUCGUGAAGAGGGAAACAACCCAGACCGCCAGCUAAGGUCCCAAAGUCAUGGUUAAGUGGGAAACGAUGUGGGAAGGCCCAGACAGCCAGGAUGUUGGCUUAGAAGCAGCCAUCAUUUAAAGAAAGCGUAAUAGCUCACUGGUCGAGUCGGCCUGCGCGGAAGAUGUAACGGGGCUAAACCAUGCACCGAAGCUGCGGCAGCGACACUGUGUGUUGUUGGGUAGGGGAGCGUUCUGUAAGCCUG
rnacentral:rRNA from 1 species